rnacentral:rRNA from 1 species
GCUUACGGCCACACCGGCCUGAGUACGCCUGAUCUCGUCCGAUCUCGUCCGUCUCGGAAGCUAAGCAGGGUCGGGCCUGGUUAGUACUUGGAUGGGAGACCGCCUGGGAAUACCAGGUGCUGUAAGCU